AGGACCCCCUAUCAAGUGACACCAUACAAACUAAACCACCUCCUGGUGAAGACAAGAGGCAACUUCAUGCUUGAAGGAAGGAAAGCAAGGAAGUCCAAUUCUUUUUUUUUUCUCAGAUUGUGUAACGGAAACACAGCAUCAGACUUUACGGAGGUUGAUGUUCCUAAUAAAGUCUUAUCUU